CUCUGGGCAUUCCUUGGAGGAUCGAGAUGGCACAGUACACUGGAAGCGAGUCGCUUAGAUCCCGGGGAAAGAAGCGCCUGAAUACAGAGCUUGUGGCCGACGGCUGUUCCGAGCACGUUGAGCUGAGCUUAUCUGCCGAUUUUCUGCGCUUUCCCCACGUCGGGAUGCUCUGACACUCUGCGACCCUGGAGACGUGCGGAUCCUCACAUCACCAGCGCUCCUCAGACUCUGGCAGGCGGAAGGUUUGACUAAUCGCCACCAGUCAAACCAGAUGAUGCUAUUAGACAUUACGUUGCCUUGAACGACGUCGUUCUCUUGCCGCUUGUGUUUUCUGAAUUACUGUUUGCUUUGUCUUUGUCACUUUGUGUGACUGUGGACGCCGUGAAAGGAUCAGCGCUACGAUGAUAUUAAUACCCGAUUUUAGUUAUUGUUACUGUCUGCGGUUUGGCGGGUCAGGAAGAGAGAAACAGUGAUCCUUUCCGUUUGCUUACAUCCCCUCUCACACAUCUGGUCUUUCCCACUGACUCACAAGACUUUGAAGUACAAAGGCAAUCAUUUCAGCUUGAACGCACAGAAGUUCCUCCGUGAAUUAAAUAAAUAUGGGAUCAUCUUGUAAGGUAUUUCAUGAACUGCAGAUGCUGCAGUAGAAAAAUAUAGUUAGUGAUUACAGUAUUAUCAUUCAGAAUAAUUAAGCAACCACUGCUGCUCUGAUUCGUAACUGCUUUGCCUUGUGCUGAAAUUCCUCCAUUAGCUCAGUUGGGACUUGCACUUGGAGAACAGUGUGAACCUUUCAACCUUUCCAAAAGCGUGAUUCUUCAUGUCAGUGAAUUAUAUAACACAGUUGUGUCAGUAGUCACCUAUUGGCUAAUCACCUGAACAAAAUGUAACAGCAAGACAAAGAAACGCCCAGCAUCAUAACCUGAAAUCUUUUACUUGUUGCUGCUUUGUUAGUUACAAAAAAGUCGCCUUAAAAUAGACUUUGAUUCAAAUUGGGCUGCGACUAAGCAUCAGGUAAUUAAAAUUAUAUUUGUGAAGAAAACACUUAAUUAAGUCUCCGGUCUGUAGUUUAGGCGUCACCUGAUGACAUCAUGGGCAAGGUUGUUUCAGUCCUAAGUUUUGCACACCUGGCAGACGUAUUGUACACCUGGAAGACAUUUGGACAGGAGUCUCACACAGGACCACAACCUCUGUAGCAUGAGCAAACAUGACAUUAUCUGAGCUGAAUGGAUUAUGUCACCUGUCAGCUUCAGGUAUAGAGAUACUGACUUACUGAAGUGCUUGAAUGACUAGAAGUCAAGCCACUUUGUGUGGAUCGUCACAUUUCCGGAUGUUGUGCCAUGAUUGACUCGUUUCAUAACAGGAAGGACAUAAAAACAGCGACAUACAGGAGUGUUUAGAUUUGGGUUUGACUGGCAAUGUAAUAAUUUAUAUACACUAUUAUAAUACAGGAGCUUCAUUCUUAUUGCAUUCUGCUAUUCAACCCUGUAUCUUUACAAUCAUGACUGCGACCAAGAUUUGUUUAGCUGAGUGGAUUUGCAUGUGGGACUUGGCUUGUUUUCUGGACAUGUCCACAUCCGAUGGCCCUUUCUCUUCCACCGUGUCUCAUGACCCCUUCGACUUUGCGUCAGGCGAAAGCACUGACAGAAUCACAUCACUUGCCCAGGACCCGCUGUCUUUAAUUUGCCUGUACACACUCACACUCAGUGACGCACGCCACAACGACAGUCUCAGCUGUAGCCAAAACAAAGGUGCUUUAACCUGAUUGCCACAUUCCUAUUUUAGUCCUUUCUUAGCUGAUUAAACAAAAUUUAUCUCACUCAAUAAAAGUUAUUCCCUUGACCUUUGACCCCUGCAAUAUGAAUGACAGAACCAUUAUAACUGGGUUUCUCUAGGCAGCCUGUCUUUCUGAUCUGAAUUAAACAUCCUCCUCUGAGAUCCUCCUGACGCUUUUCAGUGGACUCUCCAGAGUACCUUUGGUGCACUUACAUAAGUUCUGAAUGAGGCUGGGGCUGUGUUCACUGUCCCAGCCCCUUCCCAUAAUCCAUCACAGCUAAAUUAGGACUAUGAGGCUCUAGGGAUGUGUUACCGUCACUGUGGAACCUGUUAUGUCAGACACAAUUUAGAGGAAAAAGUAGGUUUCUUGGAUAUUGUGACUGAAAUGAUGGGCUUGUAUUUAUGAUCUUGAUGGACAGUACUUGUAAGAAAUAUUUAGUUCCUAGUCACCAUCAAUAAAGCUCAUUCCUAUCAUUGAAAAGAACUCCAGAGAACAAAAGUCUUUGCAAGAUCAAUAAACAAUACAAUAAAUUCCAGAGUUCAGCAAUUUUAUUUUGACAAACAUUUUUUAAUCACAGGGUGGCAGAAAAGACAAUUAUCUAUUUCAUGGCCAAGUCAACAACACAUUCAGACACUUCAGCUAAGGAAGUAUAAAAAGAUUUAUGUACAAGUGGGUCGAUGAUGCAUGUUCAUAGUGUCUGGUGACUCAACCAACUCCUGGGUGAAACAUCAGACCUGUUCGCCGAGGUCCAGAAUCCGAAACUUGUCGAGAUUGUAGAAGCAGGCCUUGACAACCCUCCCGCCAAAGUAACGUCCGUUCAGAUCCACCACAGCUGCGGAGGAGACAAGACAGUUGAGGUCAGACCGUGUCAGAGCACAGAGAUGAACCCUCUGACAACAGGAUUAGUAUGGCAACGGUAAAGAUAACAUGACAGUAAAUAUGUCCGUCAAAAUAGCAACGCUUUCCAAGAAUUCAUCCAGUCAACAUGAUGGCUCAUGUUGACUCAUGAGCUGUGGUUCCGUUGUUCCUUUAUUACAGUGAGCAGAGCCUAAGGUGCUGAAAAUAUGCAAGUUUGAUAACACCUCAGUCACCUAGGCUUUUAAUAGUUCAACUGUUGGCAGUGUCAGAAUGAAAAACAACUCUCUGAUCCUCCUGGAAAGGACAUUGUUUUUCUAAGAUUGUUGGUUGUUUAUGUUUUACAGGCAGGUAAACAUCAUCCUAUAGAGGUUCAGCUCUCCUCCCCUUCCUAUCUAUUUCCCGCCAAGUAAACUAAGUAGAGAGUCACAGCCUUUGACCUCUCUGUAGAGGUAAGGAACACAAAGACAUAGAUUUGUAUGAUCAUAUGCAUCGAGUCAACACAGGACCAUACAGUGCUACACGUCAGAGCGAUCCUCAGCAGCAGUCUGUAUCCUUCUUGGAGCCCAUGGCCCGCUUUCUGAGAAUUGUGAUGCAAGUCCGGCUCCAUCGGUGCAGGAAGCGGGGCCAGGCUUCUGACAAACGAUUCGACUGAAAGCACCGAGCCGCAGAGUGAACAUGUCCGUCAAAACAGUAAAGCUUUGUAAGAAUCCGUCCAGUCACCAUGAUGGCUCGUGUUGACUCAUGAGCUGUGGUUCUGUUGUCCUGUUCGUCUCCUUUAUCACUGUGAGCAGAGCCUAAGGUGCUGAAAACAUGCAAGUUUGAUGACACCUUAGUCACCUAGGCAGAUGCUUUUAAUACAUCGACACUGUGAAACAAACUGUCAAGUAAAUAUCAUUCUAUAGAGCACGGGUCUCAAACCGGUUGCAUCGAGGGCCAGUGUCCCUGCUGGUUUUCCAGCUCUCUGCUGAUCAACUUGAUCAGGUGUGUCAGUUGGCUUUCCAAGCUUGUCUUUGACUGAACAUACUUGGUCAAGUAUCCUUCUUGGAGCCCAUGGCCCGCUUUCUGGGAACUGUGAUGCAAGUGCGGCUCCAUCGGUGCAGGAAGGGGGGCCACGUUGGGUUGAUGGGCCACGUGUGAUGUAACGCCACAGGGAGUCGAGUCUCACCUUGUUUCUGAUCUGGGCCAACUCAUUUACAACGAGGACAGUCUUUCACCCACAUUAUUGGAGCAGUUACACAACAGUGGCACCUGAAGUUUUGAAAGGGACUGAGCGAAGACAGAAACACUCUGGAAAUGUCUGACUUACAAAUGUCUGAGUACAGACUUUAUUAUGUGAGCUCCAUGGAGGCAGGACCAGUGGGCGUUGCUGUAUAGACUCAAAUGUCUGGACUGCAAAAAAAGAACACCAAUAGAAAAGAAAUGCUGACCUUUGAUGGCCGACUCCACUCUUUCGAACUCUAGGAAUAUCCUGACGGCUUCAUCGUCCAGAACAUCAGCAAUCUGAGAA